UCGGCGGACGGGUGAGUAACGUGUGGGCAACCUGCCUUUUACUGGGGAAUAAUCACUGGAAACGGUGACUAAUACCGCAUAAUAUUCUUGGAAGGCAUCUUCCGAGAAGGAAAGGAAAUAUUCGGUAAAAGAUGGGCCCGCAUCUGAUUAGCUAGUUGGUGAGAUAACAGCCCACCAAGGCGACGAUCAGUAGCCGACCUGAGAGGGUGACCGGCCACAUUGGGACUGAGACACGGCCCAAACUCCUACGGAAGGCAGCAG
rnacentral:rRNA from 1 species